CCCAGAUCGCUGGCUUAUUUAUGAUCAUAGUCGGCGGGGAAUGCGCUGCCGUUUUUCAGCUCAUUUAUUCAUAUUUACAUUUAACAUGCGUUUUUCUCUAACGAAGUCGGCGUAAAUCGAUAUUCAAUAAACGACAUCUGUGAGCAUUUUUUCUUCUAUCCGACGGCCUGUGUUUUUGUGCUGCUCCAAGUCGACCCUUACCCUGCCCUGCUCGAUAAUGAUCUCUUUGUUGGAUUGGCAGCAGGAGGAUUGAGAGGCAGGCAGCUGGCGGUAAGCAAAAACCAACUCAUAACGAUCUAUUGGAGAGAUCUUGAGAGAUCUGGCCAACGAAAUUGGAAUUCCAAUAUCAAAUGUGGAGCAUUUCGGUUUUGGAAACUGUGUCGCUGCCAUAAAUCAGACAAGCCAUUGACACAUUUCCUAGAGCUUCGGGUUGUAUUUUUAACAGUUCCAACAUCUAUCAAAAAUAAUUAAUAGAAAACUUGUCGAAAUGUCAAUGGGCAUGACAAAUGUAAUUAAUUUGAAGCCGCAAGAAAAAUAGACAAAUUAUGAACUUUGCUGCUUUUA